rnacentral:pre_miRNA from 1 species
UAUGUACUCCCUCCGUCCGGAAAUACUUGUCGCGGAAAUGCAUAAAAAUGAAUGUAUCUAAAACUAAAAUACGUCUAAGUACAUCCAUUCUUUUGACGAGUAUUUCCGGAUGGAGGGAGUAUAUG